AUUGAACGCUGGCGGCAGGCCUAACACAUGCAAGUCGAACGAGUGGCGGACGGGUGAGUAAUGUCUGGGAAACUGCCUGAUGGAGGGGGAUAACUACUGGAAACGGUAGCUAAUACCGCAUACCAUCGGAUGUGCCCAAAUGGGAUUAGCUAGUAGGUGGGGUAAAGGCUCACCUAGGCGACGAUCCCUAGCUGGUCUGUGAGGAUGACAAGCCACACUGGAACUGAGACAGGGUCCAGAAUCAUACGGUAGGCAGCAGGUGGGAAGAUUGCACAAUGGGCGCAAGCCUGAUGCAGCCAUGCCGCGUGUAUGAAGAAGGCCGUCGGGUUGUAAAGUACUUUCAGCGGGGAUGCGUUACCCGCAGAAGAAGCACCGGCUAACUCCGUGCCAGCAGCCGCGGUAAUAC
rnacentral:rRNA from 1 species